ACAAACGACUCUCGGCAACGGAUAUCUCGGCUCACGCAUCGAUGAAGAACGUAGCAAAAUGCGAUACUUGGUGUGAAUUGCAGAAUCCCGUGAACCAUCGAGUUUUUGAACGCAAGUUGCGCCCGAAGCCUUUUGGCCGAGGGCACGUCUCCCUGGGCGUCACGC
rnacentral:rRNA from 1 species